rnacentral:rRNA from 1 species
UACGGGGGGGGCGAGCGUUGUUCGGAAUUACUGGGCGUAAAGGGCGCGUAGGCGGUUCGCUAAGUUGGAUGUGAAAACUCUGGGCUCAACCCAGAGCCUGCAUCCAAAACUGGCGGGCUAGAGUUCUGGAGGGGGUAGCGGAAUUCCUGGUGUAGCGGUGAAAUGCGUAGAUAUCAGGAGGAACACCGGUGGCGAAGGCGGAUCUCUGGGCCAUUACUGACGCUGAGGAGCGAAAGCGUGGGGAGCGAACAGGA